UCAAGCAUAAGCACAAUCUGCCAGGUGACUUUAUUGAGACCAGGAAAAAAUCCGCCACAGGUUACACUCCCAUCGUUUACUCACUGAGGUUCAAAAUAUACAUUGUGUACGUGGGCCUGCCCAGUGCGCCCAUUGUUUAACCAAGCUACAAUUAGGGUCAAUUCAGUCAGUUCCAUUAGAUGUUGGUAAGGCAAACUCAUGAACACAGCCAUUCCACGACUCUUCUAAAAGAACCAUCAACAUUAUUCAGCACUCCCGGCAGCGAGGCGGUAAGCCGGCAAGGCGAGCCACGGUGACGGCGGGUCGACAAGACGGCGGGUCGCGGCAGCGUGUUGGCUCGGAGCGGAGGUGAAGCCGCUCGCCCCUAGUGGCUCAGCGCAACCACGGCAAACGGACGCCGGUGGCAGCUCGGAGCGGAGGCGGAACGAGGCCGAAGCAAUGGAGGUCGGGGCGGCUUGAGCGCUACGUGGAUGGCGUCUCAGCAGAGAUAUCGAUGCAGCAAGGCCGGUGGAAGCGGCUCGGUGGUGGAAACGGGCGAACCAUGGUGACUCGGGGAGGCUCUGGGCCAGCGGCAGUGGAGUAAGGUGGAGGGGCGGCUCGACAGCUGCUCGCGGGCGACGACUCACUUGCAAGGCCGUAGCAGCUCAAGGACGACACGCGGCAAAGCAACAAGGACGGCGGCUCGGUGGCAUAGGUGAGCUCGACGGCAGCUCGCAGGAGGCUUACCAUGGCGAGGCAGAGCAGCCAUGGUGACUCAGUGGGCGGCUUGGGAAACAGGACCACGCAGGAGGCCCACAUCCGAGACAGCGAGCGAGAGAGUCAGGAGACGAGUACGCAGGCGCGGAUCGUGGAGAAUUCCGGGUUGUGGCCGGCUCCAUUUCCGGGUCGUUGUCAAGGAGGCGAGGCGAAUCCAUCCCCGCAUCUUCCGGGUCAGACAGGGCUCGCAGGCGGAGGUAAGACCGGUGUCGAGGCGAGCGGCGGCCACCGGCAGCAGCGAAGUGGCGAAACGCAAGGGCGGCUCGGUCAAGCGGAGGUGAAAGGCGAUUCGAAGGAAACUGAUGGCUCGACGGCCAAGGACGGCAGCACCGGGUCAAAGCGGUGGCGGAGACGGCUUAGGGCCAGGGUGACUUGGCAGCGGGGGCUUGACGGCGGCCGGUGGCGUGGACGCGAGCCAUGGCGGCCUGAAGGCACCGCCGUGGCCACAAUGGCCGAGGAGUCCUGGCCAUAUCCUCUUCUCCGCCAACUGUCGUGGUCCACUUCUGGAUCAUGGCCAUCUUUUUUUUAUUCGACUUGCUAGUAGCACACGAUGGCUAGGCGUCACGUCUUCGAUUCCUUAUCUACUACCCCUGUGAAAGCACGAGAGGGCGGAGAACCAAAACAUCUACACCGUUCAUAGCAUCGAAUCCUACGCUCCAGGUUGCUCCAAUCUUUAGCAGCAAACUAUGUUUUAGCCGCGCUUAAUUAAUUACCCACGCUGCCACUCGACCCACGCCGUCACAAAAAAUAGAAACAAUGACCCACGCGCACACGCUCGCACGUUCGUCACCCCACCCUUCUCGCUCCCGAUCCCAUCUCCCCACCGGCCUCAACUUGGCUAUGGCGACGGGGAGACGAGGAUCAACAACUCCUCUCCACUGCCUUCUCCACCGCCGCCCGCCACACGCCUCCUCGCGUCCCUCCUUCAUCCCCGUCCCCGAUUGGGCCGCCGCCACCACCGCACCAUCAGGGGACGCCAGGGGAGUGCAACCACCGCGCCGCCAGGGCCGGCAAUGCGUGAGCCGCCGCGGGUACCGCGCCGAUCGCUGCUUCUGACGAUGCGGGAGCCGCCCCAUCCGGCGAGGACGAGGGGCGCCGUCACCGCUGAUCCUCACUUCCUCAGGGCGCAUGCUGCAUCUGAAGCCUCCCUAAUGCGCUCCUCCACUCCGUUUCUAACACGUAGUUCAUACCUGGCUCGCCGCUGCCAUGCGCCGCUGAGCUCUGGAGCAGCCGCUGUCGAAGCCCAUCGCCAGCCGUCCUUGGGUGGGCCGGCGCCGAAACUCGGCUCCCAGUGGCAUCCCCGCUCGAGGUCCUUCUCCACCUCAUAUUCGGCAGAGUUCCUGAUUUCCUCACUUCUCCUGAGAUGAAGUCUAUUGAUGAUGUGCCAAUGUGAAGCAUUGGAUUGAAGUUGCGGAUCAGGAAGCAUUUUUUAUCCCAGCAGUGGAUCGAGUACUUCUAAACACAGUUAAAGAGUAAGGCAUACAGAGGCUUUGAUUUUUUCAAGUAUAGUUCAGAUUUUCAGGGAGCACUUCAACCCAGACAUAAACAAAGCAAAGAACUUGAUUACAAGGUUCAGGGUGCUCCUAUGCUUGGAUAAGGCAAGAUGAUAUCCCCCCCCUGUUAAUUUGUAUUUCUGUUGCUGCAUGAUGAUAUUAUCUAAGUGAUGAAAAGUGAUUUAUGUAUGUGAAUGAGGGAAGGGAGGUUUCGCAUCACAGAGCAAAAAAAUUACCCUAUCACGAUCCAGUGUUUGCAUUUUACUUGCACAUGCUCUAGGAAUAUACACAGUAUGCAUCACAGGCUUAUAGUGCUCAUGUUCUCAAUGGUAUCCCCUAUAAGAAUAUGAUAUUAAAUAGGUUUCUAUUGAUUCAUCAACAGAGAAAUUUAUGCCAAUUGAUUUAAUGUUGAUAUAAGCUUUAUGCAAGUUUGUUUUUUCGAGAGUACGCAAUCGGUACUAUUGCUUCUUUAUGCAAGUAUGCAAUUUGUGGAUACAUAGGGCCUCAUAUGGGCCGAAAGACGUCAUGGGCCAUACAUGGGCCAGAAGUGAAAACGGGCUGGAAUCAUAUUGGAUGGCCCAGAUGA